rnacentral:lncRNA from 1 species
UUUGAGGAUGUUGAUGGAUGAUCUAGUCUACCGGAGAAUAUUUUUUUAAUUGAAAUUAACUAAAAGAUAGAUACUUGGAAUCGAGGAGCAUUUAUAAAUUUAAUAAAAUAUUUAACUAUUCAAAAAAAACUUUGGCGUGGAUGAAAACAGUGCUUAGGAAGAUUGAGGCCUGAAACAUAGACUGAAUGAAAGAGAAUUUAAUGCAUUGCAUAAAAAGUAGAAAUUAAACUGAACCUAGAACAUGGAUUGCAUGAAAGAAAAUUAAUUGAUUUCGUAAAAAAAAAUGAUUACAAAAAGUAAAAAGAUUGAAGAUGAAGCCUAAUGCUUCUUUCUUCUAAAAAAAAUAAAAAAUAAAAUAAAAUAAAAACAAGAAAUCUUAUUUCCUCUCCCUUUCUCUCCCAUGGU